rnacentral:rRNA from 1 species
AGAGUUUGAUCCUGGCUCAGAAUGAACGUUGGCGGCGUGGAUUAGGCAUGCAAGUCGUACGCUUCUUGUAGCAAUACAGGAAGAGUGGCGUAAGGGAGAGUAAUGCAUGGUUAGCUACCCUCGGGACUGGGAUAGCGGCGGGAAACUGCCGGUAAUACCAGAUGAUGUCUUCGGACCAAACGUGUAAACCGGCCCGAGGAGGCGACCAUGUCCUAUCAGCUUGUUGGCGGGGUAACGGCCCACCAAGGCAAAGACGGGUAUGGGGCGUGAGAGCGUGCCCCCACUCACUGGGACUGAGACACUGCCCAGACACCUACGGGUGGCUGCAGUCGAGAAUCUUCGGCAAUGGGCGCAAGCCUGACCGAGCGACGCCGCGUGCGGGAUGAAGGCCUUCGGGUUGUAAACCGCUGUCGUAGGGGAGGAAGGCUCCGUGUAGAACGGUGUUUGACCGAUCCUAGGAGGAAGGGCCGGCUAAUCUCGUGCCAGCAGCCGCGGUAAU